UUUAGAGGCCUGUGUCCAAAUC
rnacentral:siRNA from 1 species